rnacentral:rRNA from 1 species
AGAGAGAGACAUGCGCGCAUAUCAAUAAGCGGAGGAAAAGAAACUAACAAGGAUUCCCUUAGUAACGGCGAGUGAAGCGGGAAGAGCUCAAAUUUGAAAUCUUCAAGGUUCUACCUUGACGAAUUGUAGUUUAUAGAAGUGUUUUCUGUUAGUGGAGUGGCAAAAGUUCCUUGGAAUAGGACAUCAUAGAGGGUGAGAAUCCCGUAUUUGGUCAUUCCUCCUAGCGUUGUGAUACACUUUCAACGAGUCGGAUUGUUUGGGAAUGCAGUCCAAAAUGGGUGGUAAAUUUCAUCCUAAAGCUAAAUAUUGGCGAGAGACCGAUAGCGAACAAGUACCGUGAGGGAAAGAUGAAAAGAACUUUGAAAAGAGAGUUAAACAGUACGUGAAAUUGUCAAAAGGGAAGCGUUUGACACCAGUGUUGUUUUUCCGAAAAUCAAUUACGAAUGUCUUAUUUUUGAGGAGUUAUGACUUCAUCGGCUUGCUCCUUUCUUUAUCGAAACUUUCUUAAUGCACUUUUCGGUUAACAAGUCAACAUCAAUUUCUUUUGUUGUAAAAGGGUAUGAGGAAGGUGGCUUUCUUUUCGGAGAAAGUGUUUAUAGCCUUGUGCCUCUGCAAUCGGAGAGAUUGAGGUCUGCAGCGUAGAUCCUUCGGGGUUAGAUACGUUUGUGCUAAGUUAUAGCUUUUCAUAGACAACUUGUUGACUAUGUUUAGUCUUGUAGCUUACUCGCUGACGCUAUUUUACCUACGCUUAGGAUGUUGAUAGUCACAGCGUGUAC